CACGGAAGGGGCUCGCGUUCUUCGGAAUUACUGGGCGUAAAGAGCGCGUAGGCGGCUUACCAAGUCGGGGGUGAAAUCCCGGAGCUCAAAUCCGGAACUGCCUUCAAAACUGGUAGGCUCGAGUCCGGAAGAGGGGCGUGGAAUUCCCAGUGUAGAGGUGAAAUUCGUAGAUAUUGGGAAGAACACCGGUGGCGAAGGCGGCGCCCUGGUCCGGUACUGACGCUGAGGCGCGAAAGCGUGAGGAGCAAACAGG
rnacentral:rRNA from 1 species